rnacentral:rRNA from 1 species
AUUGAACGCUGGCGGCAGGCUUAACACAUGCAAGUCGAGCGGGGGAGGUUGCUUCGGUAACUGACCUAGCGGCGGACGGGUGAGUAAUGUUUAGGAAUCUGCCUAUUAGUGGGGGACAACAUUCCGAAAGGGAUGCUAAUACCGCAUACGCCCUACGGGGGAAAGCAGGGGAUCUUCGGACCUUGCGCUAAUAGAUGAGCCUAAGUCGGAUUAGCUAGUUGGUGGGGUAAAGGCCUACCAAGGCGACGAUCUGUAGCGGGUCUGAGAGGAUGAUCCGCCACACUGGGACUGGGCAACGGCCCAGACUCCUACGGGAGGCAGCAGUGGGGAAUAUUGGACAAUGGGCGGAAGCCUGAUCUAGCCAUGCCGCGUGUGUGAAGAAGGCCUUUUGGUUGUAAAGCACUUUAAGCGAGGAGGAGGCUCUUAAGGUUAAUACCCUUGAUGAGUGGACGUUACUCGCAGAAUAAGCACCGGCUAACUCUGUGCCAGCCGCCGCCGUAAUAC